UUCCGUAGGUGAACCUGCGGAAGGAUCAUUUUCGAAACCU
rnacentral:rRNA from 1 species